UAUUAAUGUUAUGAUAAAUGUGACUUGGAUAAUUAGGCAUUUUGUUAUUGUAUAUUUGUUGUUUUCAUUGCAAAUUUGUUUUAUUGAAUCUUCUAUUUAUUGAGAUAAAGAUUUAUUUUCUUGUGUAGCCAUCAUAGUGUUUUGAAUGUCAUUAAAAUGCAUAUUCAUAAACUAUACUUAAAAUGAUUAGCUACAAUACUAUUUCAAAUUCUGUGUUUUCUAGUUAAAAUGUAUUUUUUUUUUGUUUGUUUGCAGGUGAAGUUUUUAGAAGCAAAGUUCUAGAACAGUUUCUGCCAGAAGAACAGAGGGCAGCUCUACGAGGAAGUACAACGGAGACUCAAGUCCUUUGGAGGAGCCUUUUUUCCUGGACCUGCUGCAUCAGCCUGACUGGUUGUUGAGGAGAGGAGCUGUGAUUUCUGCCUGAAGUGUCGGGCUCAUGGGCUGCAGAACAACAUCCAGAAGGAGCAUCAAGCACUCUGUCAACUCCAAACACCAAGUUAAUGUUCAAUCAAAACUGCUCCUUAAA